AGCAGCCGCGGUAAUUCCAGCUCCAAUAGCGUAUAUUAAAGUUGUUGCAGUUAAAAAGCUCGUAGUUGAAUUUCGGGGUCAGUAGGUUGGUCAUGCCACUGGUAUGUACUGGUCUCACUGAUUCCUCCUUCCUGAUGAACUGUAAUGCCAUUAAUUUGGUGUUGCAGGGAAUCUGGACUGUUACUUUGAAAAAAUUAGAGUGUUUAAAGCAGGCUAACGCCUGAAUACAUUAGCAUGAAAUAAUGAAAUAGGACGUUCGAUCCUAUUUUGUUGGUUUCUAGGAUUGACGUAAUGAUUAAUAGGGAUAGUUGGGGGCAUUAGUAUUCAAUUGUCAGAGGUGAAAUUCUUGGAUUUAUUGAAGACUAACUACUGCGAAAGCAUUUGCCAAGGAUGUUUUCAUUAAUCAAGAACGAAAGUUAGGGGAUCGAAGACGAUCAGAUACCGUCGUAG
rnacentral:rRNA from 1 species